UACGUAGGGUGCAGGCGUUAUUCGGAUUCACUGGGCGUAAAGGGUGCGCAGGUGGUUGGGUGUGUCAGAUGUGAAAUCCCGAGGCUCAACCUCGGAACCGCGUCUGAAACUACUCAACUAGAGUAUUGGAGAGGGUAACGGAAUUCACGGUGUAGCAGUGAAAUGCGUAGAUAUCGUGAGGAACACCAGAGGCGAAGGCGGUUACCUGGACAAUUACUGACACUCAGGCACGAAAGCAUGGGGAGCAAAAGGG
rnacentral:rRNA from 1 species